rnacentral:rRNA from 1 species
GAUGAACGCUAGCUACAGGCUUAACACAUGCAAGUCGCGGGGCAGCAUGGGGGUUGCUUGCAAUCCCCGAUGGCGACCGGCGCACGGGUGAGUAACGCGUAUCCAACCUGCCCUUCACCACGGGAUAACCCGGCGAAAGUCGGACUAAUACCGUAUGUUGUCCAUUGACGGCAUCCGAUUUGGACGAAAGGUUUGGCGGUGAAGGAUGGGGAUGCGUCCGAUUAGCUGGACGGCGGGGUGACGGCCCACCGUGGCGACGAUCGGUAGGGGUUCUGAGAGGAAGGUCCCCCACACUGGAACUGAGACACGGUCCAGACUCCUACGGGAGGCAGCAGUAGGGCAUAUUGGUCAGUGAGCGUAAGCCUGAACAAGCCAAGUAGCGUGCAGGAUGACGGGCCUAUGGGUUGUAAACUGCUUUUAUGCGGGGAUAAAGUGGCCCACGUGUGGGUUUUUGCAGGUACCGCAUGAAUAAGGACCGGCUAAUUCCGUG